GCGUGGAUGAACUCUGUGUUACUGUCAGUAGUAGAUCCAGUCAGACACCAUGCAAAAUCAUCCUUUCACUACUUCUUUACUAAGGGUGAGUGCUGACCUGUGCCUCACCUACUCCAUGGAGAAGUGAAUACAAGU
ensembl:snoRNA